rnacentral:lncRNA from 1 species
UGUCCCGAGUUCAUCGGGGGCCUUGUUGUCUCCUUCUGCAGAAGGAGCGGCUCCGUCGUCCCGGCGGCUCAUCAUGCCCCUUCCACCGAGCAGCGGGAAGGGUCCCGCAAAGCCCCUUGCCCCGCUGGUCCCUCUUUCAAAGCUGAUCCCCAUCACACAGUCGAGAAGAAACUAGAGGUGUCUGAGGCGGACCUCGCCAAGAUGAAGGAGCUCUACGCCGGCUCCAACGACCGGUACAAGGGCCUGGAGGCACGAUUGGACGAGCUCCACAGCCAUAUGGACGAGCUGAAGAAAUCCCUCCGGGUUAGCUACACAGCCCUCCACCAAACUGCCACUAGUCUGGGAGAAGAAGUGGAGGCUCCUGCUUUCGGGGACGAGACGUCCAUGACGGCGGCCUUGGCGGAACUCGUGACAGCGCUAGAAAGCGUUGUCCCGAAGUAUACCAGCCAAAUGAGGGAGACUGUGACCACCGGAGUCCAUAUUGGCGCGGCGCAUAUCCUCGCCUGCUUCAGGGCCAACUACCCGGAGCUGGACCUCGAGAACAUCCUUCGCCAUGGCGAGGCGAACUCGGGCCAUCUCCAAUUUGCGGAAGAGGUCGCCCCGAUCGCCGACAGCAUCCUCCCCUUCUAUCAGGGGUAAUUUUUAUAACCCAGUGGUCUUAAAAGGCCUUGUAAUAUUUAAACUCUUAAGUACUCGAUUCGGUACUCUGUGAG